rfam:Brachypodium distachyon strain Bd21 chromosome 5, whole genome shotgun sequence.
CUUUUACUCCCUCCGUCCAACAAAAGAUGUUUCAAGUUCGUUAAAAUUUGGAUGUAUCUAGACAUGACUUAGUGUAUAGAUACAUCAAUUCAAAUUUAGUCAAAGUUGAGACAUCCUUGAUUGGACGGAGAGGGUAUAUA